GACUCUCCUUCUUCUUCUAUAAGUCAUAUCCCUCCUUCUAUAGAAGUCCAUGACAGUAAUCAUAGCAGCCCUUCAACUUCUACUUCUCUUUCUAAUUCCCCUCCUUCAAUCUCUCGGGUCAGUCCUAGUUCUCAUCCUGUUGUGGAUGAAAUUCCCCUUCGUAGGUCCACUAGGAAUGGGAAUGCUCCCAAAUAUCUUGAUGAUUUUCAC
rnacentral:lncRNA from 1 species